GUCGCUGGUUCCUGCUCGCUUGAGCAGGUGAAAAGGGAAUGUGAAACGGGUCCAACGUCAAGACCCAAAGCGCAGCCGCCCCCGCGACCGUGACCGGAGAGGUCCGCCAAACGCCACUGGAGAUUUCCGGGAAGGCAGGCAGACCGCAGGCAUCUGAUGCCGAGAUCCGCAAGCCGGGAGACCUGCCAGCAAAAAU
rnacentral:ncRNA from 1 species